UGGGGAAUUUUGGACAAUGGGCGCAAGCCUGAUCCAGCCAUGCCGCGUGCGGGAAGAAGGCCUUCGGGUGUAAACCGCUUUUGUCAGGGAAGAAAUCUUCUGAGUUAAUACCUCGGGAGGAUGACGGUACCUGAAGAAUAAGCACCGGCUAACUACGUGCCAGCAGCCGCGGUAAUACGUAGGGUGCAAGCGUUAAUCGGAAUUACUGGGCGUAAAGCGUGCGCAGGCGGUUUUGUAAGACAGAGGUGAAAUCCCCGGGCUCAACCUGGGAACUGCCUUUGUGACUGCAAGGCUUGAGUGCGGCAGAGGGGGAUGGAAUUCCGCGUGUAGCAGUGAAAUGCGUAGAUAUGCGGAGGAACACCGAUGGCGAAGGCAAUCCCCUGGGCCUGCACUGACGCUCAUGCACGAAAGCGUGGGGAGCAAACAGGAUUAGAUACCCUGGUAGUCCACGCCCUAAACGAUGUCAACUGGUUGUUGGGAAGGUUCCUUCUCAGUAACGUAGCUAACGCGUGAAGUUGACCGCCUGGGGAGUACGGCCGCAAGGUUGAAACUCAAAUGAAUUGACGGGGUCAUAGCUGUUUCC
rnacentral:rRNA from 1 species